rnacentral:rRNA from 1 species
GACGAACGCUGGCGGCGUGCUUAACACAUGCAAGUCGAACGGAAAGGCCCUGCUUUUGUGGGGUUCUCGAUUGGCGAACGGGUGAGUAACACGUGAGUAUCCUGCCCUUGACUUUGGGAUAACUUCAGGAAACUGGGGCUAAUACCGGAUAGGAUCUCCUGCUGCAUGGUGGGGGUUGGAAAGUUUCGGCGGUUGGGGAUGGACUAGCGGCUUAUCAGCUUGUUGGUGGAGUAGUGGCUUACCAAGCCUUUGACGGGUAGCCGGCCUGAGAGGGUGACCGGCCACAUUGGGACUGCGAGACGGAGCAGACUGCUACGGGAGGCAGCAGGGGGGAACCUUGCACAAUGAGCGGAAGUCUGAUGCAGAGACGCCGCGUGCGGGAUGACGGCCUUCGGGGUGAAAACAGCUUUCGCCUGUGACGAAGCGUGAGUGACGGUAAUGAGUAAAGAAGCACCGGCUAACUACGUG